UAGCCAUUGACCUGAAAAAUGAACAAAAAAAGUGGUGCUUGAGUCAUUAGUAUUGUUUAGGAGGCGAUCGAUGAUGCGAACCAGAAAUAAGCUGCAAACAAUGCAGUAUGGAAGUGUACUUUUAUCCGGAAUCAUGCAGAGAAAUAUUUCUUCACCUCUAGAAGCUCAUCGCCUGAGCGCAAUAUGCCAUUUUGGCCUACCGGCCCCUCGGGUAGAAUGGAGCGGAUAUAAUGAUGAGGUCUAACUUCUUGUCCGUUUUCAACGUCCACUGUCCCUUCUAAGCUAAUACCGAGUCCACUACCUUCGGCGAAUUUAUUAAGUUGCGCUACCUGUGAGAGAAAAUAAAAAAUCAAGCACAAUAUUACAAUAAUGAGACUAAUAAAUUUAUGAUGUACUGCUCAAA